GCUAAUAACCGGAUAACAACAGAUGAUGCCUAUCAACUGUUUAAAAGAUGGUUCUGCUAUCACUCUUGGAUGGACCUGCGGUGCAUUAGCUAGUUGGUAGGGUAACGGCCUACCAAGGCGAUGAUGCAUAGCCGAGUUGAGAGACUGAUCGGCCACAUCGGGACUGAGACACGGCCCAAACUCCUACGGGAGGCAGCAGUU
rnacentral:rRNA from 1 species